GCCGGCCAGAAAAGGACUAGUGAAGGAUGGGGUUAUGAGGUUACCCUGAUGGAUGUGCCUCUUACCCCAAGGGAUCAAACUAGGUUUUCCAUCUUUACUGUCUGUAAGCAUCAAAAACUGUGUGUACUGCUGUUCAGAUUAGAAGGAUUAUACACAAGUCCCAUACCCAGUCUUUUGAAUUUGGAAAACAUCCAUAAUGGAAUUAAACAGAAAAAGAAUAUUUAAGCAGUGACAGAAAUGCAAGAGAGAAGAUUCUUCAUGGAUAUUUUCCAAAUGACUCUCUGGGAGAUUCAUUCUGAUGUUGCAAAUUCCCUAUGAAUGUACCAUUUGCUACAGAAUUCAGUUUUUCCAUGGCACAGAAAAAUAAGUGGCCUUGCUGUAAAAAUAAAACUAAGUGAUUCUGA